AUCGAACGCAUGCCCGGACGCAGGCGCAAUAGCCUACAGCUAAAGACGUUGCUCGACGGCGUAGAUCAGCAAUGCUAUUCACUAAAAAUCUACCGCAACGCUGCGCCCGCCGACGAGCUCUAGGCUGAUCAGCCUUGCGAACGACCGUGGCUACAGCGCUGCGGUAAUUGGUAUUCACUAACGUGUCAAACCUCAUCGACGAACUGUAGGCUGUGAUAACUCGAGGCUGUGCGCACGGACGAGAUAGGGCUUGCAACAAAAACCGUAAAAUGAAACCGAUAACUGUAGAAAUAUAAUAUUUUAUUGACAAAUGGAAUGUUUUAUUCAGUUUAGAAUGUUAUUUAAAUAAAUAUUAUAUAAAAUAAACAUAAAUUUAUACAUCAAACAUUUGAUUUUGUUUUUUAAAGUUAAGAUUUGUUUGAAUACCCUUGCUUCCAUUGCCGUAAAAUAAACAAAUAACACUUAUACGUAGGUACGUAGAGAGUAUUAUAUUCCUUGUACUUAACAUUCCAGAGGCGCACUUUUUGUAUUUGUUUAUUCUCUUUUAAAAAUAAUUAAUAAAAUUAACGUAACUUUACCAACGUUUUAUAAGUUUGGAUGUAUCUAUCAAAUACGUCCACGCCGUCAUUUGACUGACAGUAUCCCGAAGACACUUAUCUCCUUCACAAUAGCAGCCUCAACUAGAAAGAGAGUAGUCUCACAAAGAUUUGUUGCCACUGAAGAGCACCGAGUAGAGACAGAACAAAUUUUGAUAGAGAAUCAGACAACACUAGUUCAUAUCUUAUAGCUAAUGAAUGAGAUAUGACUAAAUUAAAGUCAGCCAUUGUACGAUUUAAUUAAAAAAAAUUUAAAAAAAUGUCAAAUAAUUUUUAUUCAAUUAAAUUUAAAAUAUUAUAAAUGGUAAUUCUUUAUGAUUCUACCAUCCAUUGUGAAGAAGGGGAGAAACCUCAAUUUUGGUUUUUAAAAUACUAAUAGAUUUUACAAUAAUACAUUUCUAAAAAUAUACACUGCCAAACAUAACAAGAGUUAUUGGAAUUAUUAGUUAAAUCAAGUUCAUUAUUGAAAAUAUAAGAUUAAAUUAUGUCAUUUAAUAGUCAUUAGUAAUUUUGAAAUAUAAGUUUCAUCUUAUAUAAUUUUCAAAUAAAAACACAAUUACAAUAAAAUUUUAUAAUUAUAAACUUGUUUCAAUUUCAAAUAAAUAAUUUUUAAUGAA